rnacentral:rRNA from 1 species
UACAGAGGGUGCAAGCGUUAAUCGGAAUUACUGGGCGUAAAGCGCGCGUAGGUGGUUCGUUAAGUUGGAUGUGAAAUCCCCGGACUCAACCUGGGAACUGCAUUCAAAACUGUCGAGCUAGAGUAUGGUAGAGGGUGGUGGAAUUUCCUGUGUAGCGGUGAAAUGCGUAGAUAUAGGAAGGAACACCAGUGGCGAAGGCGACCACCUGGACUGAUACUGACACUGAGGUGCGAAAGCGUGGGGAGCAAACAGG